CUGUCCCGGCGCUGCCGAGUGUCCCGGUGUCGCUCGGCGCCGCCGGGAGCGCCAGGAGCGGCGGCUCCGUCCCGUCCGCCCGCAGCGGAGCCGAGCGCGCAGGGAACGGCGCUGCCGCCUCGCCGCCGACAGCGCGAAACAUCUCAGGCUUUCUCCAGGCAAGUUCAUACCUGCCAGCCCCAUUUACUCCCAACUUUCCAACUUCAGCUAUUGUCUUAGGUCAGCCUUCCCCCCUCAGACCAGCAGUCCUGCUGAAGUUGGCAGAAACAGCGAAUUUCAGCAACAGGAGGGGUUAGAGGAGAUGUCACAGCAGCAGCCUCACCCUCAGCCCUGACCUGCUGCACCACUUCAGGUUUUCCCUGCACACAGGGCUGAUACUGUCUGCUCAGGCAGAGGACUGUGUACAGGACAGUCAAAAACUAAGAAGGUGACAGCCAUGCUUUAAU